AGUGAACGCUGGCGGUAGGCCUAACACAUGCAAGUCGAACGGCAGCACAGUAAGAGCUUGCUCUUACGGGUGGCGAGUGGCGGACGGGUGAGGAAUACAUCGGAAUCUACUUUUUCGUGGGGGAUAACGUAGGGAAACUUACGCUAAUACCGCCUACGACCUAAGGGUGAAAGCAGGGGAUCUUCGGACCUUGCGCGAUUGAAUGAGCCGAUGUCGGAUUAGCUAGUUGGCGGGGUAAAGGCCCACCAAGGCGACGAUCCGUAGCUGGUCUGAGAGGAUGAUCAGCCACACUGGAACUGAGACACGGUCCAGACUCCUACGGGAGGCAGCAGUGGGGAAUAUUGGACAAUGGGCGCAAGCCUGAUCCAGCCAUACCGCGUGGGUGAAGAAGGCCUUCGGGUUGUAAAGCCCUUUUGUUGGGAAAGAAAAGCAGCAGGUUAAUACCCCGCUGUCCUGACGGUACCCAAAGAAUAAGCACCGGCUAACUUCGUG
rnacentral:rRNA from 1 species